CCGCACUUUCUCUUCCAGGUCCUUGGCCACUGCCCAGGCCCUGAAUUCUGACCGGGAAACCUGAGAAACUUUCUGAAGGCCUUGGAGUUGAUGGGCAGCUCCGUCACUUCUGUCCUGAGGCCUGUCUCCCCGGUGCAUGCCAUGGAGUGCCGGGGACACAUGGGAUCAUGUCUUGGACAUGCAAGUGAUGACCAGAGUACCCAGGAUGCAACAGUGGUUGCCUGGCUGGCGGGCAGGAACUGGAUGAAAUGCUCACUGGGGAACUGAAUGACCCAGCAGUCAGCCUGAGAACCAGCUCAGCCUUCUUCAGAAGUCAAGGCCACAGUCACAAGAAAGAGGAACAGACCGAUGUGGUGGAACCGGAACAGCCUGUCUCCAUCUUCCCCCAAGAACCAAGAGAUUAAAGCGGUCCUUCUGCAAGCUUCUGGGUCCAGGAACUCGGAGCUGGAAGGAGCUCAUCUGCACUAAAGGAUUAGAAGCAAAUAGAAUCUACCCCACGAUCCAAGCUCAAAGGAUCUGGCCUGCUUGCUGGUGUCUUCCCCUGGCCUCCGCUGGGUGGUGUUUGCCUGCCCAGGUCACUGAGACCAGCAGAUCCUUCUAGGCUUUGCUGAACCUGGCUGGUAAUAACUAUCUGACCCUUCAAUUCUUCCAUACACUGAACUCGUUGCUCCAGUGAAUCCCUUUCCCAGCCCACCUUGUUUUGUCUCUGCCUUUCUGUCUCUCCCACUUUCUCACCCUUUCAUGUAAUUCAGCAACUAUUUUAAAACAAAUAGCUUUAUAUGAACAAAAGGACUAGAUCAUGAACUACACUGGUUAUUUGGAAGUCUAGGUUCUGGUCCUGCUACCCCUUUAACUUGAGUUAUUUACAAGUCUGUUUAAAAGUUUCUAGACAUACACUGGUUUGUUUUUUGUUUGGCUAUCGUUUUGUUUUUCAUUUCUAAUUGUAUUGCAUUGUGGUGAGAGAAGAUGGUCCGUGUUGUAUUAUUUUUGGGUGGGGAGAUGUGUUAAGAUUUCCUUUGCAGUUUAGCUUAUGGUCAAUUUUUGUGAAUGUGUAUACUCUGCUUAGAACGUAGUUCAGAAUAUUUCUAUUAGGUCAUGCUAUUGUGUUAGUCAAAUAGUCUUGAUCUUUAUUUUUUAAAGUGCUUAAUAUUUUAUUUUCCAAGAGAGAUAUGUUAAAAUCUAACACUGUGAUUUUUGGGGUCAAUUUUUCCUUUUUUUUUUUUUUUUUUUUUUUGAGACCGGUUCUCACUCUGUGCCUAGGCUGGAGUGCAGUGGUGCGAUCUUAGCCUCAAUCUCUCCGGGCUCAUGUGAUCCUCCUGCCUGUCCUCACUGUAGCUGGGACUACAGGCUCACACCACCACGCCUGGCUUUUUGUAUUUUUUUUGUAGAGAUGGGGUUUCCCCAUGUUGUCCAGGCUGGUCUUGAACUCCUGGGCUCACAAAGUGCUGUAAUCACAAAGUGCUGGGAUUACAGCUGCGAGCCAGUGUGCCCAGCCUCUCCUUAUUCUUUAACAGCUUUUGCUUUACAUAUUCUGAAUGUAUGUCAUUAGACGAAAACAUGCUCAUGACUAUUUUAUCUUCUUCUUGUAGUGUUUCUUUUAUCUCUAAGAAAUAUUUCCUCUUAGUUUCUUUUCACCUUGACUUCAACUUUGAUAUUAAUAUUCCUACACCCACUUUGUGCUAGUGUUUUCCAGAUAUGGUAAGUUGAUCAAAAAGAUGACACAAUAACUCCUUCCCUUCCUGAAUCCAUACGCCUUGUGACUUUGCCUCUGUUCUAAUAAGAGGUGAAGUCCAUUUCCUUAUUCGUUGAAUCAUGUUUGGCAUUGUGACUUGUGAAUACAGAAGGCAGCAGAACUAAUGCUAUGGGACAUCUGAGUCUAGUCCUCACCAGGUCUCCCAGCUGCUGAUCUCAUCACCUGGAACGCUGCUCCCACCAUGUGUAGAAGCCUGGGUUAGUGUCCUGGAGGAUGAGAGACAAUGUGGAGGGUGAGGCUGGCCAACAGCCUGCACCAGCUGUGUAAGACCAUCUGAGAUGACUGUAGCUGCAUGAGUGAACCCAGGGGAGACAUGCAGAGACUUGCCCAGCUGUCUUACUUGUUACUUUAAGCCAUUCAGUUUUUUCUAAGAUAAAAAAGGUUAGUUUAUCUAGGCAGAAAUAGUAUGUAAAUAAUUAUACAAGUAGUACAUGGAUAUGACGAAAACCUUGAAGCUGAUGUGCAAAGAGCUGAAAUUUGGAAAAUACUUAAUGAGAGAAUGGCCUAAAGAGCUAUUCGGUACUCUGAAUUCCCCAAAGGCAAGGACCAAUAUUUAUCCACCUCCGAUAUCUCCUCCGGAACCUUACACAGUACUUGGAACACAGUGGACUCUCUACAAAUACCAAAUUGGGAAUUAACUCUUAUUAUAAACACUGAGUGUCAGCCCUGGUUCUUCCGGGCUCCAAAACUAACAUAUGAGUAGAUUUCUCCAGGUAGACAAGAGUGAGGUAAACCCCCAAGAAUCAGGAACUAGAGCCAAGUAAAGAAUAAGCCCCGAGAAGCUUUGAGUAAAAAAGGAUACUGUUUGCACAUUGCGUAUUGGAAAACAAGUAGAAAGUCCAAAAACAAAAUAAAAACUUACAGCAGGAAGAAAAAAAAAAAAAGCCCCACAAACUCUACAGCUUAAGUUAGCCUAACCACAGCUGAGAUAUUUCUUCCGAAAGAACUAAAUGACAAGUUGAGAGAAAGGCCCCAUUGUCAGGUCAGCUGUUCCUGAGAAGAACUAAAUUCAAAACUAGACAAAACUCUCUCACUACUAAAAACGCAUAUAGACAGGGAAGCAUUUUUUCAAGUUAUACUAAUAAGUUGACUUGGAUGCUUUAAUAGCUUUCAUGAAUAAUUCUGAAAAUUGUUUAGCAUAUUUGAGGAACUCCACAACUACUUAGAAUAAAAAGAAAAGCAACUUUUUAAAAUUUAGUAGUAUCUCAAAAAAGAAAAACCUAGUUACAUGUUCUUGUAAAGAAGUUUCACUAUUAAUAUCAAAUGCUCCAGAAGUUUACUUUAUAAGACAUAUUCAAAAUAUAUACCCAAUAAUCUAAAUUUAGAUGCUAGAGUAGCAAUAUAAUUUUGGUUCUCCAAAGAUUACCAAGCAUGAAAUAGCAGUCUCCUUGGGGUGUUGCCAAACCAGGUGUCUUUACA
rnacentral:lncRNA from 1 species